rnacentral:rRNA from 1 species
CCUACGGGGUGCAGCAGUGGGGAAUAUUGCACAAUGGGGGAAACCCUGAUGCAGCGACGCCGCGUGAGUGAAGAAGUAUCUCGGUACGUAAAGCUCUAUCAGCAGGGAAGAAGAUGACGGUACCUGACUAAGAAGCCCCGGCUAACUACGUGCCAGCAGCCGCGGUAAUACGUAGGGGGCAAGCGUUAUCCGGAUUUACUGGGUGUAAAGGGAGCGUAGACGGCAGCACAAGUCUGGAGUGAAAUCACGGGGCUUAACCCCGGAACUGCUUUGGAGACUGUGCGGCUGGAGUGCAGGAGGGGUAAGCGGAAUGCGUGGUGUAGCGGUGAAAUGCGUAGAUAUUAGGAGGAACACCGGUGGCGAAGGCGGCAUACUGGACUGUAACUGACGUUGAGGCUCGAAAGCGUGGGGAGCGAACAGGAUUAGAUACCCUGGUAGUC